AACCUAGCACACCUGCGGUGUGUACCUGCGGAAGGAUCAUUCAUAAUCAGUGUUUAAUGGCACUCGAAAUCCAUUACCCACCUUGUGUGCAUUGUAAAAAGGGAGAGAGAGAUUUGGCUUCAGGUCGUUGUCUCCUCUCCUUUUUCAUUACAUACCCUUUGUUUCACUGAUCAGUCUACAAUCAAUGAGUAAAUACAAAAAACUCUAAUACAACUUUUAACAAUGGAUCUCAGAUCGGAA
rnacentral:misc_RNA from 1 species